rnacentral:lncRNA from 1 species
AUUUGUAUGGUGAUGGAUAAAAACUAGACUGUUGGUGGUGAACACAAUGCAGUCUAUACAGCAACUGAAAUAUGAUAGUGUACACCUGAAAUUUACACAAUGUUAUAAGCCAGUAUGACUUCAAUGAAAUAAUAUUUUUUAAAUGCAAAAUUAAAAAAAUGGAAUAGGGAGGUUUUUCUUUUUCUUUCUAUCAUGUUUGAAGGGUGAGAGAAGAAGCCAGUGAAGAGGGAGGAUUGAAAAAGACAUGGUAAGGGGCCGACUCGGUGGCAUAGUGUUUGGGUUCGUGCUUCAGCAGCUCAGGUUCCUGGUUCAGAUCCUGAGUGUGGGCCUACACACUGCUCAUCAAGCCACGCUGUGGCAGUGUCCUACAUACAAAAUAGUGAAAGAUUGGCACAGAUGUUGGCUCAGGGACAAUCUUUCUCAAGCAAUAAGAGGAAGAUUGGCAAGAGAUCUUAGCUCAGGGCCACUCUUCCUCACCGGAAAAAAAACAAAAAAAACCCCAGAGAAGCAGGAGAGACUAAAACCUAGAUGAAAGAAAGAGAAGGCUUAGGAAGGGGCAAGGGGAUGAAAGUAAGUCUAAAUGCUUUUAAAUGGUCAUAUGAAUAGUUUCUAAACUUCUUCACACAGAAAAACUCAUGACUUGCCUUGUAAGGAAGAUCUCUUGUGUAGUGUAUAUAGCUAGAACUAUUUUGGUACUCUAAUCCUGGAAUAUUAUAGUAUUGGAUUUGUGCAAUGUACUGUAUGUUUGUGUCUCCCCCCCCCCCCAAAAUCAUAUGUUGAAAUCCUAACCCCCAAUGUGAUGAUAUUAGGAGGUGGGAUCUUUGGGAGUUCAUUAGGUCAUGAGAGUGGAGCCCUCAUAAAUAUAAUGAGUGCCCUUACAGACCGCAGAGAGCUCUCUCUCCCACUCUUUCCACCAUGUGAGGAUACAACGAAAAGUCAGCAGUCUGCAACCUGGAAGAGGGCCUUCAGCGGAACCCAACCAUGCUGCUACCUUGAUCUCAGACUUCCAGCCUUCAGAACUCUAUUCCAUCUUCUCCACUAUAGCCUGCUAUACAGUUUUUGUUUUUUUCCUUUCUAUAAGAAAACUAUCAACCAAUCUCACUUACAGAUGCAAAACUCCCUACUGGCAGGGCAGUUUGGAGGCCAAGCGAGUGUCUUUUCAGCGCUGAGAUCUGGCACAGAGGCGGCGGUGGUUCCCAGGCCUUUGAGUGGAUUGACUUGAGCCUACGGGCCAACACGCUCCAGGCUAGACAGAUAGGACCACCCUGGACUUCUUGUUGGCUUUCUAGCCACCAUGGAGGAUGAAUCUAUGAGCCCCCAGACCUGACUCUGGAGGAGCGGAUGGAGCUGGAGAAUGUGCGGCCACGGAAGCAGGAGCUGCUGGUGGAGAUCCAGCACCUGCAGGAGGAGCUCAGCGAAGCCCUGAGCCAGGUGGAGUCUGGAGGCCAAUGAAGGCAGUAGAACCUGGCAACGGGCAACGGGCAAUGGGCAGGAAGAACUUCAACAUGGACCCCAAGAAGGGGAUCCACUUCUUGCUGGAUAAUGAACUUCUCCAGAAGAUACCCAACGAGCUUGCCCCUUUCCUUUACAACGGCAAGGGCCUGAACAAGACAGCCUUGGGGAUUACGUAGGGGAGAGGGAAGAGCUGAACCUGGCAAUGCUCCACGAUUUUGUGAAUCUGCGUGAGUUUACCGACCUCAAUUUGGUGCAGGCCCUCAGGCAAUUUCUAUGGAGCUUCCCGCCUCCCUGGAGAGGCCCAGGAGAUUGACUGGAUGAUAGAAGCCUUCGCCCAGCCAUACUGUCUGUGCAGCCCUGGGGUUUUCCAGUCCACAAGCAUGUCCUACGUGCUGUCUUUCACCAUGAUCAUGCUGAGCACCACCAGCCUUUACAAUCCCAACGUCUGGGACAAGCUGGGCCUGGAGCACUUUGUGGCCAUGAACCAGGGCAAUCAACAAGGGCAGGACCAGCUUGAGGAGCUGCUCAGGAACCUCUAGGACAGAACCUGAAAUGAGCCCUUCCAGAUUCCUGAGGAUGAUGGAAAUGAUCCGACCCACAGCUUCUUUAACCCAGACCGGGAAGGCUGGCUCCUUAAGCUGGGAGGGCUCUGCGUGAAGACAUGGAAGCUGCUCUGGGUUAUCCUUACCCACAACUGCCUCUACUAUUUUGAGUGCAUGAUGGACAAGGAGCCAGAGGAAUCAUACUCCUGGAGAAUCUGAGCAGCCUAGAGCUGGAUGACCCCCAGAAACCUUCCUGCUUUGAGCUUUACAUUCCCCAAAACGAGGGAUAGCUCAUCAAAGCCAGGAAAAUGGAGGCAGAUGGCUGGGUGGUUGAGGAGAACCACAUGGUGUACAGGUCUCAGCCCCAUAGGAGGAGAAGGACAAAUGGAGCAAGUCCAUCCAGGCAGCAGUGACUGUGGACCCCAUCUAUGAGAUGCUGGUGGCAAGGGAGAAGGGGAUUUCUGUCAAGAAGCAGCAGGAACAGCCCUGGCCCCUUGCCCCCAACUCCGUUUAUUUACAGGUGGCUGGACCCCUGGGCCCUUCCAUUGUGUAUCGUGGUUCCCCAUUUGGAAAAUUCACCACCUCUAGCAUCUCUCUCGUUAUUUGUAAUCAACACGCUGUUGAUAAUCUUAUCAAUUAUUUAACCACUAAAAAAAGAAGAAAGAGAGGGGCUGGCCCCGUGGCCGAGUGGUUAAGUUCGCGCGCUCCGCUGCAGGCGGCCCAGUGUUUCGUUGGUUCGAAUCCUGGGCGCGGACAUGGCACUGCUCAUCAAACCACGCUGAGGCAGCGUCCCACAUGCCACAACUAGAAGGACCCACAACGAAGAAUAUACAACUAUGUACCGGGGGGCUUUGGGGAGAAAAAAGGAAAAAAUAAAAUCUUUAAAAAAAAAAAAAAAAGAAGAAAGAGAGAGAAUUCCUACUUGGUGGGGCUAUUAUUCUAAAUAAAACAUUAGGGGCGAGCCUGGUGGCAUAGUGGUUAAGUUCCCGAGCUCUGCUUCAGCAGCCCCGUGUUUACCACAGGGAUCCUGGGCUCGGACGUACACACUGCUCAUCAACCCAUGCUGUGGCCACACCCCACAUACAAAAUAGAGGAAGAUUGGCACAGAUUUUAGCUUAGGGCCAAUCUUCCUCACCAAAAAAAUAAAAUAAG